GAAAGGUAAGUUCUAUAGGACUGUAGUCAGACCAACUAUGUUGUAUGGAGUGAAUGUUGGCCAUCUAAAGGUCAACAUACCCACAAGGUAAGUCUGGCAGAAAUGGAUGUUUGGUAACAUAGUAAUGGAUCAGAUUAAGAAUGAUAAUAUCCGCUAAAAAAUUUAACACAUAUUGGAGAUAAUAUGAAAGAGGGUCGUUCAAGAUAGUUUGGUCACGUAAAAUGGCCCA
rnacentral:misc_RNA from 1 species